rnacentral:rRNA from 2 species
AGAGUUUGAUCCUGGCUCAGAACGAACGCUGGCGGCAGGCUUAACACAUGCAAGUCGAACGCUCGUAGCAAUACGGGAGUGGCAGACGGGUGAGUAACGCGUGGGAACAUACCCUCCGGUUCGGAAUAGCUCAGGGAAACUUGGAUUAAUACCGGAUACGGCUGAGAGGCGAAAGAUUUAUCGCCGGAGGAUUGGCCCGCGUUCGAUUAGCUUGUUGGUGAGGUAACGGCUCACCAAGGCGAUGAUCGAUAGCUGGUCUGAGAGGAUGAUCAGCCACAUUGGGACUGAGACACGGCCCAAACUCCUACGGGAGGCAGCAGUGGGGAAUAUUGGACAAUGGGCGCAAGCCUGAUCCAGCCAUGCCGCGUGAGUGAUGACGGCCUUAGGGUUGUAAAGCUCUUUCGCUCGGGACGAUAAUGACGGUACCGAGAUAAGAAGCCCCGGCUAACUUCGUGCCAGCAGCCGCGGUAAUACGAAGGGGGCUAGCGUUGUUCGGAAUUACUGGGCGUAAAGCGCGUGUAGGCGGGUCUUUAAGUCAGGGGUGAAAUGCCAAGGCUCAACCUUGGAACUGCCUUUGAUACUGGAGAUCUUGAGUCCGGGAGAGGUGAGUGGAAUUGCGAGUGUAGAGGUGAAAUUCGUAGAUAUUCGCAAGAACACCAGUGGCGAAGGCGGCUCACUGGCCCGGAACUGACGCUGAGACGCGAAAGCGUGGGGAGCAAACAGGAUUAGAUACCCUGGUAGUCCACGCUGUAAACGAUGGAUGCUAGCCGUUGGGGAGCUUGCUCUUCAGUGGCGCAGCUAACGCUUUAAGCAUCCCGCCUGGGGAGUACGGUCGCAAGAUUAAAACUCAAAGGAAUUGACGG